rnacentral:lncRNA from 1 species
UAUGAGUCUAUUUCUCAACUUUUAAUUCUCUUGUUCUUAUUGGUUUUCCUUUUUGUUCUACUUUUAGGAGGAUUUUGAAUAGCGUUAUAUGAUAAACAAGGUUCGAGUUUGCCAUAACCAUUUAGGAGAUUAGAAUAGCUAUAUCAUAAGUAGAGAAUAAAUAAAUCUCGUAGAUGUAGUGGUAUGGAGAAGUUUGUAUAGUCAGAUGAAGAUUGGUGAAAGGUUGAUUAAUUUGGUGUCAGAG